rnacentral:rRNA from 1 species
GGUUAAAAAGCUCGUAGUUGGAUUUCUGUUGAGGAUGGGCGGUCCGCACAUCGUGCGUGUAUCUGUUACAGCCUCGGCAUCCUCUUGAGGAACGAACUGUGAUUCAUUUCGUGGUUCGGAAUUCAAGACUUUUACUUUGAGGAAAUUAGAGUGUUCACGGCAAGCAAUCGCUUUGAAUACAUUAGCAUGGAAUAAUAAUAUAGGACCUUGGUACUAUUUUGUUGGUUUCUAGAACUAAGGUAAUGAUUAAUAGGGAUAAUUGGGGGCAUUCGUAUUAACGCGUCAGAGGUGGAAUUCUUAGAUUGCGUUACGACGAACUACUGCGAAAGCAUUUGCCAAGGAUGUUUUUCACUGAUCAAGAACGAAAGUAUGGGGAUCGAAGACGAUUAGAUACCGUCGUAGUCUAUACCAUAAACUAUGCCAAUUAGAGAUUGGAGGUCGUUCGUUUUAUGACUCCUUCAGCACCUUAUGAAAAAUCAAAAUUUUUGGGUUCCGGGGGGAGUAUGGUCGCAAGGCUGAAACUUAAAGGAAUUGA